AUUGAACGCUGGCGGCAGGCCUAACACAUGCAAGUCGAACGCGUGGCGGACGGGUGAGUCAUGUCUGGGAAACUGCCUGCUGGAUGGGGAUAACUCCUGGAAACGGUAGCUAAUCCCGCCUACCAUCGGCUUUUCCCAGAUUGGAUUAGCGAGUAGGUGGGUUAAAGGCUCACCUAGGCGACGAUCCCUAGCUGGUCUGAGAGGAUGACCAGCCAAACUAGAACUGAGAAACGGGCUAGAACCCCACGGGGAGGAGGAGGGGGGAAGAUUGAAACAGGGGAGCAAGCAUGAGGGAGCCAAGGCGCGGGGAAGAAGAAGGCCCUCGGGGUGUAAAGUAAUUGUAGAGGGGAGGCGUUACCAGCAGAAGAAGCACCGGCUAACUCCGUGCCAGCAGCCGCGGUAAUU
rnacentral:rRNA from 1 species